rnacentral:rRNA from 1 species
AUUGAACGCUGGCGGCAUGCCUUACACAUGCAAGUCGAACGGCAGCGGGGGAGAAGCUUGCUUUUCCUGCCGGCGAGUGGCGAACGGGUGAGUAAUACAUCGGAACGUGCCCUGUAGUGGGGGAUAACUAGUCGAAAGAUUAGCUAAUACCGCAUACGACCUGAGGGUGAAAGUGGGGGACCGCAAGGCCUCAUGCUAUAGGAGCGGCCGAUGUCUGAUUAGCUAGUUGGUGGGGUAAAGGCCUACCAAGGGGACGAUCAGUAGCUGGUCUGAGAGGACGAUCAGCCACACGGGGACUGGGACACGGCCCAGACUCCUACGGGAGGCAGCAGUGGGGAAUUUUGGACAAUGGGCGAAAGCCUGAUCCAGCAAUGCCGCGUGUGUGAAGAAGGCCUUCGGGUUGUAAAGCACUUUUGUCCGGAAAGAAAUGGCUCUGGUUAAUACCUGGGGUCGAUGACGGUACCGGAAGAAUAAGGACCGGCUAACUACGUGCCAGCCGCCGCCGUAA